AGGAAGUGUCCCGAUUAGCGUGAGCGAAUGAACAAACGCUUCGGAUUCCGUACUCUUAUAAAGUGUCUGAGCAGCUGUGAGGAAUGGUUGCUGCUUGAUUGUCUGUUUGUUUCAUCGUCAGAUUUCUUCUCUAAUCAGGCUGCGUUUAUCCUUCAUGUGCAAGUGUUGUGCAUUUAGUAAGAGGGUGAUCAGAUCUGCUCUUUGGCGGCUGGACUGUGGAUGUGCUGUUUGUUUGCCAUUUGAGUGUGGUAUUGUUGUGCAGGCCUGGUUAAACGGAGGGGAACUGCAUUUGGUCACUGCUGUCCUUCUUUACCCUUUAUUUCUGGGUUUUGUGAUUUAAUGUUUGUUUGGUUUUCUUUAUUUAAGGCACCCAUCAUGUUGUAUGGAUGCCGUGUUUAGCUGAUUGUUAAAAAGACUAUAGGGGCAUUGUUUGCAGAUAUUUUAUGGUAUGAUAACCAACUGAUUUUGUGCAUCUGUUCCUUUCCAGUGGAUCAUCUGGGAGCACUGGUUGGAUUGUGGGUGUUGGUCCUUUGAUGGUGGAAUCUGUGCUACGGUUUACACUGCAUGCUGUGUGAAUCUUAUGAAUUUACGGUGUGUGGCACUUUGCGUGCGUGUGUGUGGGUGUGCGCGUGCGUGUGUGUGUUUUCCUUUACAGGCACCAUUUUGGGUGAACCUUUUUGGGGUUAAAGUGGGCCUGCACCCGUGGCCUGUCAGUCUUCCUUUGUAUCCACUGGAAUGUGUGGUGUUAAUUGGUAAUUGUAACAGUUGGUAUCCUUUUAAUAUGAUUCAUGUUGUAGUUUUAAAUAAAAUAAGGUAUUAAUAAUAAGGGUUUAUAUUUUAACUGAUUCUGGAAGUGUUGAGGAGGUUAAUAAAAAUCCAACACUAAAAUAAGAAA